rnacentral:tRNA from 1 species
ACUGAGGUGGUUUAAAUUAGAGCGCUAUAUUGAAGCUAUAGAGGAAGGAUGUCCUCCUUGGUA